AUGGGGACAACAUUCCGAAAGGAAUGCUAAUACCGAAUGAAGUGUGGGGGAGGCAUCUUCCCUACAUGAAAGAUGGCCUCUAUAUAUAAGCUAUCACUGAUCGAUGGGUCUGCGUCUGAUUAGCUAGUAGGUAAGGUAACGGCUUACCUAGGCGACGAUCAGUAGCCGGUCUGAGAGGAUGAACGGCCACAUUGGGACUGAGACACGGCCCAG
rnacentral:rRNA from 1 species